GAAAUCAAUUCAGAAUUUACAAGUGAUAUGGAUGUCGAAAUUUUCAUUUCGCUUCUUCGGCAACGAUCUGUGCUGCGGAACAAAUUCGGUGAUACAAGUUGCUGCACGAAGGUAAGCAAUGGUCACAGGCGCACGAGAUCAUCAUGGAGCAUAUUGCCGUGGACUGUGUUAUCAACGAUUCGCUACUGAACGAGUUCGAUGAUGUCAAACAAAUUUCCAACUGGUUAAUCAAGGGGCAUGUUUUGAGUGAGCUUAUCGAGACUUUAUGAGGAGUUUAGUUUGUGACAAUUUGACCUGACUCGAGACGCGAUCGACUACGAGGUGGACGUGGCUCGGCUCGAGGAUCUCAAGCCCUAAAUGUCCGAUCUGUGAUCGGUGAUCGAGAUGUUUCCCUGUCCGACGCCGAAGCAUCGGUUCUGUCAGAGCGAAAUCACCCAAUAUAUCUGAGUCGGACAUUUUUUGCCCAAGAUCCGCGUAUAAAUAGCUGUGCGUAGA